rnacentral:lncRNA from 1 species
AUAAAAAGAUUCAAAGUACUUGGAGUAUUUAGGAUUGAAUUGUUCCAUCGUGCUUUUCCAGUAGGAUUUUUCUUAAUGGAAAUGUGUUUGGACUACAUGUUCAGUGGCCAUACAUCUGGAUUUUCAGGGCAGCUGAGUGACUGAAUGCAGAAGAAAAGCAAAACACCACUCUUUGGAAGCUGAAUGAUUGCCUGCUCAUGUCUUAUACCACUUCUACAUAAAAUGACCAGUGUCCUCCCCUGG